rnacentral:rRNA from 1 species
CAGCCGUAAACUAUGCGCGUUAGGUGUACUGGUGACCACGAGUCACCGGGGUGCCGAAGGGAAACCGUGAAACGUGCCGCCUGGGAAGUACGGUCGCAAGGCUGAAACUUAAAGGAAUUGGCGGGGGAGCACCACAACGUGUGGAGCCUGCGGUUUAAUUGGACUCAACGCCGGAAAUCUCACCGGAUAGGACAGACAUAUGAUAGUCGGGCUGAAGACUCUACUUGAUGAUCUGAGAGGAGGUGCAUGGCGUCAGUGACU